GGUUAUAACGGGCCCUAUUUCAAAUCCUAACUAGUUUCGUCGACAUAUACACGACCCAAAUUCUCCUUAAUUUCUCUCUUCUUCCUCCCGCCAUUUCGAUUUGAGAAUGGGGCGAAAUCUUCAAACCCUAACUCUCACCUCACCUCCAACGAUCUCAAAACCCUAAAUUCUUCCCUCCGCCAUCGAAUUCGUAAUACAUAAACUAGAUCGGAGCUUUCUCCGGUUGUUUUUGAACGGAGACGAUCGCGUAGCCGUUGACGUGCUUGAUGCGAUCGAUUAUUCGGGGGAAAUGCUCUAUUUUUAGCGGACAGUGCCGAUCUGGUCGUGGAUUGUUGAGAUUUUGGCCUCAGAUUGCUCCGCAGAGGCCCGAGAUCACGAUGAGUGGUGGAUUUUGACGGAUUCUGUUAGUCAAUUGGUCAAUGAGCGCGCAUGAUUACUUGCAGUCACUGAAAUGGUUGUGGCAGUGAGUAAUGUGGUUUGUUGGAUGGCAAGAGGCAUGCAUUUCAGUGUGUGGAUAGAGGCUUUUAUUCCCCUAAAAAAAGUUACGACAUAUCUGAGUGUGUGCUGGUAUAGUUAUUCUCAAAGAAAACCUUUGGAAGCAAGAGUGGAGAAAGCUCUCUUCGGAAUGCAUUGUUAAAGAACCUGCGUGCAUUGUCAAAUGCCGCAAGUGCGUUUGUACAUGGAAUUGAGAAUGGAUUUCAUGACAUGCCUACAAUUCUAUGUUUAGUAUCUGUUUUCUCUUCUGAAAACAUAUGUGCAACACCAUUAGAUUUUUAUGUUUCGUUUCACGAAUUUGGAAUCUGUUUCUAAUUAGAAUGGCGUUUUGCUAACUUCAUUUUCCUUUAUUCAAGAUGAGAAUAACUGCUUAUUAAUCCUAUCCAAAUUUUCUACCCAGGCUUGCUGAUGAUGCCUUGAAACUUAUUGACGGACAAUGCUGGAUGAUGAUUAGUAGCUCUUUGGUUGUUGAUUUUGCAAAUGUUGUCUCAUAUGGCAAAACAUGGUCUUCUAAAGCCUCAAUUUUCAAUGCCUGGAGAUCUACAUGCGAUGGGGUUGACACCUAUGUGUGGAUUGCAUCAAACCUAUGAUGAUCAGAGAAACAUGAUGUGACGCCUUAACAGUCCUAGUAGGCGAUAUUUGGGUAUCAUGCAGCGCAGACUGGCGGCUUUGUGCAAGAUUAACUCCAUAGACUCUUCUUUAACUUUUGUGCAGACCGACGACUUUGUUUCACUAGACAGAAUAGGAGCAGAAUAGGAAUGGAACAUCUCUUUUGAAGUCACCUUUGUGUAUGUAAUCUUUGACAUUCCCGGUGUUGUAAGUGAGGUCCAGAUCCCCAACUAUGAACUUGACUGGUACUUGUAUCUUGACCCCAGUCCACGGUGCUGUGAGCUCCCAAUUCCUACAAAGUUCAACAAGGCUCAUAUUGAGUUCCAUUUUCCAAUGUCUAUCCAAAUAGCAGUUCACACUUUGAGCACUUUUGCAUAAUAAAAUCCCUGAUAAUUCAGUGUCAUCACAUCUUUCAUGGAAACCAAUAAGGACAAAUUCUUUAUUCCCAGAUACAAAAACUCAGUAGUAUUCUAACCAUUCAUUCCUUUUGGUACAGCUCUUUGUGAUAAUCCGUCUACUGGUCAAUUAAAAUGUAAAAUGCUCUGUGAUUAGCAACCUUCGAAUUAAAAUUUUAAGUGCCAAUAGUAUAGUGCAGAGUAAGCUCACAAGGUAAUUGACAGAGAUGACUUGAUUUACCCUCUUCAAAGUACAAACAGAACCAAUAAAAGACGUAUUUUUAAAUAUGCAACAAGAAAGGAAACCAUUAGUAUUAACAACUGGGAUGUAAUCUAAGAAUUCUUUUUACUUCAUUCUGCCUUCAGAGCAUUAUUGUUAUAUACUUAACGGACUCAAACAGCUGCUUUUUCAUGGGACAGAUAUCAUCCACUUAUGAAAUACGAAUUUAGAAUUUAGAAUUUAGAAUUCCAAACAAAUAUUCAGAUACCAUAACAACAAAUAUCCGAAGUAAUAUGAAUUUAGAAUUCCAAACACGCACAUAAUAACAAAUAUCCGAAGUAACAAAUUGUCACCUAACUUUUUCAUUACAAUUUCAUAGAACAAAGAUUUUCAUAGAACAUAGUUGAGUUAGCAAAAUAUUACAAGGUCCAAACUAAAAACAUACCCUUACUUGGAUAUUAUUACAAGAAAGCUAGACAUCAUGAAACCAACAAAAAUUCCAAGUAGAAAGUCUUUUUCCUGGAUAUGUUUCUUCCAAAUUUCAUUUUUUUCUCCAUGUAUUCUUGAUCUCAAGUUCUCAUUUUUAAUUGAAAGCUCUUCAUAUUUGCGAAUAAAUAUAUUCAUUGAGUCGCGAGCGUAACUUGGUACUUCGCCAUGAUCUAACCAAGUCCAACAAUUACAAGUGUUUGUAGCACA